rnacentral:rRNA from 1 species
UACGUAGGGGGCUAGCGUUGUCCGGAUUUAUUGGGCGUAAGAGCGUGUAGGCGCCAGGUAGGUCUGCUGUGAAAACUCGAGGCUCAACCUCGAGACGUCGGCGGAACCAUCUGGCUAGAGUCCGGAAGAGGAGAGUGGAAUUCCUGGUGUAGCGGUGAAAUGCGCAGAUAUCAGGAAGAACACCGAUGGCGAAGGCAGCCCCCUGGGCUGAGAUGACGCGUCAGGCACGAAAGCGUGGGAGCAAA